CUGGCGGCGUGCCUAAUACAUGCAAGUCGAACGGCGUUUCUAUGGAAGCUUGCUCCACUGAGAAGAUAGUGGCGGACGGGUGAGUAACACGUGGGUAACCUGCCCAUAAGAGGGGGAGUAACAUCCGGAAACGGGUGCUAAUACCGCAUAGUUUUCUUGAUCGCAUGAUUGAGAAAGGAAAGACGGCCUUUGUGCUGUCGCUUAUGGAUGGACCCGCGGCGUAUUAGUUAGUUGGUGAGGUAAUGGCUCACCAAGACGAUGAUACGUAGCCGACCUGAGAGGGUGAUCGGCCACAUUGGGACUGAGACACGGCCCAAACUCCUACGGGAGGCAGCAGUAGGGAAUCUUCCGCAAUGGACGAAAGUCUGACGGAGCAACGCCGCGUGAGUGAAGAAAAGGUUUUCGGAUCGUAAAACUCUGUUGUCAGAGAAGAACAAGUCGGAGAGUAACUGCUCCAGCCUUGACGGUAUCUGACCAGAAAGCCACGGCUAACUACGUGCCAGCCGCCGC
rnacentral:rRNA from 1 species